rnacentral:rRNA from 1 species
GAUCAUGGCUCGGGAUGAACGCUAGCGGCAGGCCUAAUACAUGCAAGUCUAGGGGGCAGCAAUGUCACCGGCGCACGGGUGCGUAACACGUAUGCAACCUACCUUCUACAGGGGUACAGCCUUCCGAAAGGGAGAUUAAUACCGCAUGAGACCACACUGGUGAUGCCAGAGGGGUUAAAGAUUUAUCGGUAGAAGAUGGGCAUGCGUCUGAUUAGUUAGUUGGCGGGGUAAUGGCU